CAAAUACCCCUUCCAAUGUCCAUCCUUUCAUAAAGAAAGUUUGUUCCCUUGGAGUUAUUUUUAUCUUCUUCAUUUGACUUCUCCUUUGACUACAAUAGUCAUGGUCCCUAAACUCCCACUAUCUCUCUUGAAACUUAUUUCAAUUGUGUUAUACACAUCAAACAUUUUGGAGAGUAUGUGGUUAUUGUUCACUACAUAGUUUACAAUAAACUUAGUGAACCAUUAGGAUAGGGACACAUAGGUG
rnacentral:lncRNA from 1 species